rnacentral:ncRNA from 1 species
CUUCACAGGUUAACCGUGGCCUGAGUGGUAAGAAAUGCUACUGCUAGUCACUAUUUGUGGCGACAUCUCCAAAUUGCGUGAAACCCGUCAUACAGCUUCAAGUACCACUUCAAUUGAGAAAUCUUUUGAAGGAACAGAGGUAACUCCUCUUCCCAAAGGUAAAAGCUUGAAGACAUGGUGGCAAUGCGCAGCCAAGCUCCUAAGUAUUUUAAAUAUAAGGAGAAGGUUCAGAGAGCAGACGGAGAUGGGCGGUAAUUAUCGCCGCUUAAGGUGUGCUCCAGCCUCUUUCGAAAGAUUGAG